CAGUUCUCCGCUCGCUGUAGUACUAUAACGGAGACGAGGACAGAGACAUCAACGGGAGCGGGGAGUUGUGUGACUUUUGCUCGAGACCGUCUGAAGCUCUUGCAGUAGCAGCUGUAGUAGUGAUGGUGGUGGUGGUGGUGGUGGUAGUCGUAGUAGAUAGCAGGCAGUAGCUGCGUGUGAAAAUUCAGAGCGGGUAAGACGGUAGCUGGCGGCAAGACAGUGGCAGAAGACGGCCAACACUAACCCUUCUCCAAUUGGACACCACGGCAAACUACUGGGUAGUUACAUCUCGUGAGAGCAGUUCUUAAAAAUAAUAAAAUAGUGUGUACAAGUCGUGAUUUAAAAAAAAAAAAUAAUUCUGUUUAAUUGAAAAUGAACUUGAUCAAUUGUGAAAGCUAACAAAAAUCAACGAAUUUUCGAUAUAAAGUGAAAUUUAAAACAAAAGUGUGUAUUGCUUCAAAGUGUCGUUUUCAAGAAGUUAUCUAAUAUCUUAAAUGUCCACGUUAUAAGUGUGUUUACAACGUGCAACGAAAGGGGGCGUGGUUUAUGUUCAUUUUGAAGCCUUAUAAAGGAAGAAGAGCGCCUUGCUUCAACAAACGCGAACCAAUCAAGGAGAACGAAGAGUCUAUUAAGAAAUGAGAGAAAAAGCGGAAGUUAAGUUAGUCGCGUUGUUCUUUACAAAGAUUACUUAAUAGUUGUGACGAAAUAGUUAACAGGGAAGAGGGAAACUAUCCUGUGUUUCAAAGCAGCAGCAAGAUUGAGCACAGUAGGCUUAGCACUUGGAAGCCAUGUCUUCUUCAACCACAUCACGUGCCAUAACUAACAUCAGAACAGUAACCCUUGGUCGACCCUCGAAAUCAGCAAUACCCUCCCCGAUACUAUGUAUUAACAGCCUUUUCGCUAUCACGUUUUCAUACUCUCCAACUGUGCUAAAUCCGAUUCUCCUGUUCUGUAAACACCCCAGAAGAAAUUUCGAUUAAGUAAAGAAGGACCUCACCCACAACUAGACUGCGCACAAAGCGAGAGACUGAACAGAAACAAAUAAUAGUAUUAUGAAACUGCUGAUGGACAUGUCGGCGAGGUUUCUUCACGGAAUCACCUGGAGUAGGACUAGGAGUCGGCGUUCUCUGUGUGACAAAGUGGUGUUCCUAGUGUUCGUAGCUAUAUUAGUACUCCUAUCAGGAUCUUGCACUGAUAAGAACGUGUUAGUAACCGCUGCCCCCAUUGGUCGCAGAGCGACAACUGGCCAAAUAGUACCUUCCGGAUUACUAAGGAAAUCUUUUUCUGGAGGUACUGCAUUUUCUAAGUCAUGUCCUGAAGACGAUGUUGGGGUCAAAACUUACUUAGCCCAAACAGUGUUUGAGGGAAAAGCUAGGUCUAGGAGUCCCGUUCGAGACGGAGUAUACAACGUGACAUUCGUGGUACAACAGGUGUACAAGGGUUCGGAACCAGGAUUCUUAAGAAGCGCAGUGAGGCUACAGUUUGCUGAGAAGGCAAGAGCUAGUAAUAAUUUUCGCAAGUGUGAUGAUGGUGGGAAUAAGAAUAGAGUUAUGAGAGCCAAUAUUACACGUGGAGGGAAGUACAUUGUGUUUGUUGAUAAAAUUGAACAACAUAUUUUCAAAGCCCGUGGAGAACCCGUCAAGAGAAAUGAGAAGAUUGUGAAAGCCGUCAAGGAGAUCCUCUGCCAGAACUGUGUGAGGCGACCAUCUGUCACCGGUCUACACGACAUUUCGCUGAAACCGAAGGAUAAGCUGAAGCAUGUGUGUCGAGUCAAGGGGAACCCGCUCCCGAUGGUGUUUUGGUACAAAGAUGGCGUCCGGGUACAACCUUCCAGAAGAAUUAGGAUACAUACAAAAAAGAGGCGGUCCACACUUGUGAUUCCAAAGGUGAGGCCCGAGGACGCGGGUGUGUACCGAUGUGAAGCAAAGAGCGUCAUUGGAGCGGACGCUAACAUGACUGCGAGGGUCACUGUAGUCUCCGAUACAAGACCAGAAAACACUACAACGCUGUGGCCACUGUAUGGCGUGCCGUGUCCAGUAGAAACAUACUGCCUGAAUGGAGGCACGUGCUUUUAUUACGAGACCGUGGGAGAGCUAGUCUGUCAAUGCGCCGACGGCUACAAGGGACAGCGAUGUGAGAAUAAAGACGUCUUCAACCGUGGGAGUAUGUAUAGGCCUAAGUUCUGUAACGUAGUAGGCUUUUUAUCCUCGUUUUAUUGCUAAAGUAUACAAAAUCUGACGAAAAUUGAACAAAAACCAAAGAUUAUAUUAAAAUACUCGCGGCGCAAAAUGUUUUUGUCGCUGUUUUGUUUUCCUAAAGUUGCUCUCAUAACUUACAGUUGCUGCUGGUUGUUUUAUAUGAAAACAAAUUUCCAGUUGAGCCUUUAGCUUUUAUAUAAUUUAUUUAUUUUUAAUUAUUAAUGACCAAAACUUAUACUUCCAUCCAACUCACAACAAAUUAGGAUGAUGCAAAAAAUUUGUGAACGACGAUCGUUGAUCGCGCGCGAUCAGGUUCAGAAAGAAACGCGACUGAGAACUGUUUGUAUAACAAACGACCGUGGAGAUUGCGUAACGAACUAAGGAUGACCUCCAUGUCUACAGAAAUCGAAAGAAUGGACUUUUGUUCUAAAGUAAAGGCAGUGGAAUGAUGAUUGAUGGAGUUCUACGGGAAGAUCAAGAUACAUGACUCAACGGCGGUCAGCUUAGAACAUGUCCUCGCUCCACGCUUUGUCGAUAGAACGUAGAAGAAAAUGCAGCAGCAGGAGCGUGGGAUACAGAGUUCGCCAUCCUGGAGGACUAUGCGCGCCCAGACCCGCAGCGCCCCUGGUGGAUGUUCUUCACACUACUGCGUGGAUGGCGGUGCAAAGGCCUCUAAGAGACACCUGGCGAAGAGAGCUUGGCUGGCUUACCUAGCCCACAGCAGGCAGAUACCUCAGUCCCGAAUUUUAUUAACAGUAACGGAUCGCAGAGAGGGGAGAUGGCUCUGGAGCUGUUCAGCAGUCAGCGUGACUCACCCAGCCACCUUCCCAGACAUCUUCUCUGAAAGGGGACGGGUCUACGAUCGCUAAGCAACAGCAAGAGACAGAAUAUUUGUAGACCAUAUAGGACACUUCGAAUAGGUUGUGAAUAUUUGCUAUUUUUUUUAAUGAUCGCUUUACGUUAUUUAUCUAAAUUAUUGGAAACAACAAAAGGGGAGGGAUUAACUAUGCAAAACGACUCCUUUAUGAGAUUGUCACUGCUAAUAUGGCGUUGAUCAUUAGAAGUAUAACAUCAAAUAAUGUUAAGUAUCGAAUGAUUAAGACUGAUCUCUUUAAUCCUAUUGUUCUCACUGCACAUUUAUGCAGAAACGUAACGUUAAAAGCCAAAUGUUUAUCUCCAUCUCAAACAUAAAAUUAUUUCAAUAACAUCUUAAAUAUUUCGAGCGGCGUGCAAUAGUAAAAAGAAACGUUUUCCUCAACAAUACUUUCAGCGUUUGAUUUUGUAGGAACAAGGAAUUCAUAUAUCGUGGAUUUAAUAAAAUCCUCUUACAGUAUGAUAACUGGCAACAUCUAUCGCCACAGACUCGAAACAGUGUCAAUAUAAACUAUUUACAAUCGUGAACACACAAAAACAUUAUUCCCCUCAGUGUACCUUCUACGAAGAAAAUAAGGAUUUCUGUAUGUGUCGCCUACCAUGUAAGAUAAAGAUAUAAUAAUCUCGCUAGAAGCAAUGAUAAAAUGAACUCUGCGUAUGUAUACUGUGCUCCGGAGGCGCCAACCCAACUUCUGCACAUAGUUAAAUUUCUCUUUUGUGACGCGGAAAUGAGGCAUAAUAAAAAUGCCUAGGUUAUUUCCAAUUUCCCUUCUUAUACCUUGCAUGGUGAUGUGAUGAAGUAAUAUUACAUACUUUCUACAAAGUGGGGGCCGUGUUUCUGGGACACUGAGUAUUGGUAACCAUUUGGAUUAAUUUUAGUUUUACUCAGACCCAUGCUGGGAACCAUUUCCUUCAAUAUUUACGCUUAUCGUCCGUCAUCCAUAAGAGUGUUUUGCACAGUCAAAUGCUCCCCAAGUGUCGUGUAUAUAUGUGACCGAGUUAUAUGUACAGUGAUAAAGAAGAUUAACAAGAAAUGAACCGGAUGGGUGCCAAUUCCAUAAACUCAAAAGCGAAGGAAGAAAAGUUUUAUGAUCGAAAUCAAAACAAGAGCAUAAUAUUUUGAAUGAGUUCUCAGGGGAUGCUUAUAGUAUGUGUUUUAUUGUGCGCGGGAGCAAAACAAAAACCUGUAAUAAUAUUUAACGGUUCAUACAGAUUAUCAAUUCUAGUGUGAAUUGAAAUAGCAUCGUUAAUCUAAGUCCGCGAGAAAAAAAGUAAAAAAUCAUACCAAAGACUAAUAUUAAUAAUUUAUGAGGGAGCGUCUUUAAUGUAUGUGAUCUAUACACAAGGACAUUUUAACAAUAUUGUUGUUAAGUUAUUUCAAAUAACAUACACCAGUGUCACCUGUUUUGUCUUUCAACUCUCGAAAAUGUAACACACACUUUUAUUAUUAUUAUUAUUAUUAUUAUUAUUAUUAUUAUUAAGCAUAUGGCAUGGGUGGUUUAGGAGGGGAAUAAAAAAACACUUUCAAGAACUCAACACCCAAUUACACGUUUAACAUAACAGGGAAUAGUGUGAUAGCUUGAACGACGUGUAGAGCAUAUGUUACAAGAGGACAUAAAUGUCAGUUACUUCAUGUGGUAGCUAGUUUCGAAACUGGUUAGAACUCCUGUUAGUACAGUAGUCCUGUACUUCUGUGAGACGUUUUAACUUUAUGAACUAAAUGUACACAAGUUGCCCGCCGAUAAAUAGUUUUGGUUUUAUUUGAGCCUUGAAUUUAAAAACGUCCGAAUAAUGCAUUAAAUCAAAAAUCUAUUUGCAAAACAGUAAAUAUCAAUUACUGACUGGACUUUCAGGAACACUGAUUUAUUUUUAUUGCUACUGGGGUGGGACUGAGUCCCUUGUACUGCAGCCACUUCUGGCCUAUUGUA